GAUGAACGCUAGCUACAGGCUUAACACAUGCAAGUCGAGGGGCAUCAGGAAGAAAGCUUGCUUUCUUUGCUGGCGACCGGCGCACGGAUGAGUAACACGUAUCCAACCUGCCCUUUACUCGGGGAUAGCCUUUCGAAAGAAAGAUUAAUACCCGAUGGCAUAAUGAUUCCGCAUGGUUUCAUUAUUAAAGGAUUCCGGUAAAGGAUGGGGAUGCGUUCCAUUAGGUUGUUGGUGAGGUAACGGCUCACCAAGCCUUCGAUGGAUAGGGGUUCUGAGAGGAAGGUCCCCCACAUUGGAACUGAGACACGGUCCAAACUCCUACGGGAGGCAGCAGUGAGGAAUAUUGGUCAAUGGGCGCUAGCCUGAACCAGCCAAGUAGCGUGAAGGAUGAAGGCUCUAUGGGUCGUAAACUUCUUUUAUAUAAGAAUAAAGUGCAGUAUGUAUACUGUUUUGUAUGUAUUAUAUGAAUAAGGAUCGGCUAACUCCGUGCCAGCAGCCGCGGUAAUACGGAGGAUCCGAGCGUUAUCCGGAUUUAUUGGGUUUAAAGGGAGCGUAGGUGGACUGGUAAGUCAGUUGUGAAAGUUUGCGGCUCAACCGUAAAAUUGCAGUUGAUACUGUCAGUCUUGAGUACAGUAGAGGUGGGCGGAAUUCGUGGUGUAGCGGUGAAAUGCUUAGAUAUCACGAAGAACUCCGAUUGCGAAGGCAGCUCACUGGACUGCAACUGACACUGAUGCUCGAAAGUGUGGGUAUCAAACAGGAUUAGAUACCCUGGUAGUCCACACAGUAAACGAUGAAUACUCGCUGUUUGCGAUAUACAGUAAGCGGCCAAGCGAAAGCAUUAAGUAUUCCACCUGGGGAGUACGCCGGCAACGGUGAAACUCAAAGGAAUUGACGGGGGCCCGCACAAGCGGAGGAACAUGUGGUUUAAUUCGAUGAUACGCGAGGAACCUUACCCGGGCUUAAAUUGCAGUGGAAUGAUGUGGAAACAUGUCAGUGAGCAAUCACCGCUGUGAAGGUGCUGCAUGGUUGUCGUCAGCUCGUGCCGUGAGGUGUCGGCUUAAGUGCCAUAACGAGCGCAACCCUUAUCUUUAGUUACUAACAGGUUAUGCUGAGGACUCUAGAGAGACUGCCGUCGUAAGAUGUGAGGAAGGUGGGGAUGACGUCAAAUCAGCACGGCCCUUACGUCCGGGGCUACACACGUGUUACAAUGGGGGGUACAGAAGGCAGCUAGCGGGUGACCGUAUGCUAAUCCCAAAAGCCUCUCUCAGUUCGGAUCGAAGUCUGCAACCCGACUUCGUGAAGCUGGAUUCGCUAGUAAUCGCGCAUCAGCCACGGCGCGGUGAAUACGUUCCCGGGCCUUGUACACACCGCCCGUCAAGCCAUGGGAGCCGGGGGUACCUGAAGUACGUAACCGCAAGGGUCGUCCUAGGGUAAAACUGGUGACUGGGGCUA
rnacentral:rRNA from 1 species